GCGUCUGUAGCCUAGUUGGUAAAGGCAGCACUCUAGCUAUGUGUCUCAGCAUAGCUGAGGUCGUGAGUUCAACUCUCACCAGACACA
rnacentral:tRNA from 1 species